rnacentral:tRNA from 1 species
GCCUCAGUAGCUCAGUGGCAGAGCGCCAGUUUUGUAAACUGGAAGUCGAGGGUUCGAUCCCCUUCUGAGGCU